CGGAGGAAAAGAAACCAACUGGGAUUACCUUAGUAACGGCGAGUGAAGCGGUAAAAGCUCAAAUUUGAAAUCUGGUACUUUCAGUGCCCGAGUUGUAAUUUGUAGAAUUUGUCUUUGAUUAGGUCCUUGUCUAUGUUCCUUGGAACAGGACGUCAUAGAGGGUGAGAAUCCCGUUUGGCGAGGAUACCUUUUCUCUGUAAGACUUUUUCGAAGAGUCGAGUUGUUUGGGAAUGCAGCUCAAAGUGGGUGGUAAAUUCCAUCUAAAGCUAAAUAUUGGCGAGAGACCGAUAGCGAACAAGUACAGUGAUGGAAAGAUGAAAAGAACUUUGAAAAGAGAGUGAAAAAGUACGUGAAAUUGUUGAAAGGGAAGGGCAUUUGAUCAGACAUGGUGUUUUUUGCAUGCACUCGCCUCUCGUGGGCUUGGGCCUCUCAAAAAUUUCACUGGGCCAACAUCAAUUCUGGCAGCAGGAUAAAUCAUUAAGAAUGUAGCUACUUCGGUAGUGUUAUAGCUUUUUGGAAUACUGUUAGCCGGGAUUGAGGACUGCGCUUCGGCAAGGAUGUUGGCAUAAUGGUUAAAUGCCGCCCGUCUUA
rnacentral:rRNA from 1 species